UACGUAGGGGGCAAGCGUUGUCCGGAUUUAUUGGGCGUAAAGAGCGUGUAGGCGGCCAAGCAGGUCUGCUGUGAAAACUCGAGGCUCAACCUCGAGACGUCGGUGGAAACCGUUUGGCUAGAGUCCGGAAGAGGAGAGUGGAAUUCCCGGUGUAGCGGUGAAAUGCGCAGAUAUCGGGAGGAACACCCGUGGCGAAGGCGGCUCUCUGGGACGGUACUGACGCUGAGACGCGAAAGCGUGGGGAGCGAACAGG
rnacentral:rRNA from 1 species